rnacentral:tRNA from 1 species
UCCCGGGUGGCUCUGUGGUAGAGAAUCUGUCUGCCAAAGCAGAAGACAUGGGUUCGAUCCCUGAUCCGGGAA